rnacentral:ncRNA from 1 species
CAAAGGCUUGGUUCUGGCCUUAAUAUUAAUUAUAACUAUAAUUAUACAUGCAAGCAUCAACAACCCAGUGAGUAAUGCCCUACAACUCCAACAGAGUUAUAGGAGCCGGUAUCAGGCACCAAUUAGCCCAAAACACCUUGUAAACCCACACCUCCACAGGAAACAGCAGUAAUAAACAUUAAACAAUGAGCGACAGCUUGAUUUAGUAAUAGUUAAUAGAGCCGGUAAAUCACGUGCCAGCCACCGCGGUUAUACGAGAGACCCAAAUUAAUAGUUGCGGCCAAAAGAACAGUUAAGGAAAACACCAUAGGAUGAAAGAAUUUCUAAGCUGUUAUACGCAAAAGAAAGCUUUAAACACACACCUAUUACUCUUGAAGCUGUCACAGUCAUGGGACACACUGGGAUUAGAUACCCCACUAUGCCUGACCAUAAACUUUGGACACUCCCGCCUGAGUACUACAAGCCACAGCUUAAAACUCAAAGAACUUGACGGUGUCCUACACCCACCUAGAGGAGCCUGUCCUAUAAUUGAUACCCCCCAGUAAACCUCACCACCCCUAGCUAAACAGCCUAUAUACCACCGUCACAAGCUUACCCUAUAAAGGAACAACAGUAAGCUAAAUAAUUUAAAAUUAAAAAGUCAGGUCAAGGUGUAGCAUAUGAAGUGGGAAGAGAUGGGCUACAUUUUCUUUAAAGAAAACACGAAAUAUUUAAUGAAAUAAAAAUAUGAAGGCGGAUUUAGUAGUAAGAGAAAAAUAGAGAGUUUAUCUUAAAUCGGCAAUAGGACAAGCACACACCGCCCGUCACCCUCCUCAACAAAACACAAUAUAAUAUAUAAAUACACAAAAAUUAGAGGAGGAAAGUCGUAACAUGGUAAGUCUACCGGAAGGUGGACUUGGGAU